rnacentral:rRNA from 1 species
UACAGAGGUCUCAAGCGUUGUUCGGAUUCAUUGGGCGUAAAGGGUGCGUAGGUGGCGCCGUAAGUCGGAUGUGAAAUUUCGGAGCUUAACUCCGAAACUGCAUUCGAUACUGCGGUGCUUGAGGACUGGAGAGGAGACUGGAAUUCAUGGUGUAGCAGUGAAAUGCGUAGAGAUCAUGAGGAAGACCAGUGGCGAAGGCGGGUCUCUGGACAGUUCCUGACACUGAGGCACGAAGGCCCAGGGGAGCAAACGGG